rnacentral:lncRNA from 1 species
UCCUCUUUGACACCUUCCACAGGUUUUAUAUUCUGUUGCAUUUGCCUCCCACCAACUGAAUGGAAUGUUACAACCGUUUAAACACCCUUUCAGUGAGUAAUAUAAGGAAGUAUCACAACAUAUCAUCUUCUGUCUCUCAUGUACUCCUCCUCCACAUGUAGCAUUACAAGAACCCCACGGAGCCCAUUGUUCAACUACACAAUAACUGUGCGCGUUUUGAUCACAUGCAUA